GCCUCAUUUUGUAGUUUAAAUGCAGCAGAUCAGAUGUUCCCUGUUCUCAGAUCCAAGUUCCCAGGAGAGGAAAUUUAUUGGCCAGCUCCUGUAACAUACUUGGACCUGCUGCUGUCAACCAAAAAUGAAGGAAACGGAGGCACAAAAUGGUGCCUGUGGUGGACGUGGAGAAGCACUGUCCUCCAAAGGAUUUUCUCCCCGGCUGCCUUCAAACUGUCAGUGCCUUUAGGCUCUGCCUCAGCUAUUUGGCCUGAGGUCAUGACCUUCCCAGGGCAGCCUGCAUUGGACAGAGGGACAAAGUAUAAAGACCCAGCCAUUGCCCCAAGAAUUAUCCCAAGAUGGAACAAUUCUGAUGGGUAAUAGUCACAACAGAGCUCCCUACCUGGUUGGUAGAAGCUUUGAUGAACCUGUACCACAUUUCAACUUCUGCCUCAACAAGGGUGACUAACCAUCCCGGUUUGCCCAAGACUGUUCUGGUUUUAGCACGGAAAUUUCUGUGUGCCAAGAAGCUCUCAUACCAGGCAAACCAGAUGGUUGGUUGCUUCGGACCAAUCCUGCUUCCUUCCCCUUCCUUCUAAAUAUAUUGAUCCCUAAUAAUGAUUUUGCACGGCAAACUCCAUCUCAGCGUCCGCUUCCUGAGAAACCCACAUGGACAGUGCCCUGAUCACAUCACAGACAACGGACCUUCCGGCAUCAGACUGUGUGUUCCUAAUCUCCAAGCUUCUGGAGAUUAUAAAAGUGUUCUGGUAACUUGAAUGGUGUACUCAACAGAGAACAGAGGAAGAUUCUCCAGGCUCCAUACAGCCCAGGGCUAGGGAGAUUCCAGAUGACAGCUGAGAUGCACAUGCAUGACAAGAUGUUUACGAAAAUCAAAAUGAUAAAGGCAGCUAUCUGGAGACGCAAGUAAGAAACUUGGUAAUUUGUAUUUUCUUUUUGGUGCUUUUUCAAGAUUCCUGCAAUAAAUUGGUGUUAAUUCUGUAAUCUGAGAAAAGAGCAAUAAAUGAUCAGUGUCUAUUUCUCCUGUGUUCCUAUAGAGACUCUUCUGUCUCUUGGGUGUGCCCAGUCCCUAAAAAGAAACAGAUGAAACAAACACACAAAAAAACCAUGCCACUGAUUCAUGCAGAGGUAUUUCAUAUAGUUACAGAAAUAGAGUCUACAUAUUGUGUGAGGCCUCAUUACCUUAGUGUGAGAACAUCCAAAACGUUUUAGGUCAAUAUCAUGGGUCUAGGAAGAGAGGGUCUUUAAGAUUUUAAGUUAAUCCUUGAGACUUGGAUCAGGCAAAGUUGAUAUUGAUCAGGUCAACGUUUAAUCCUGACUUGAUUCUUGACUCAUGUAAUUUUGAGCGUGCAAGUAAUUUUCUCUUUUUAACUUUCCUCUUCUCAAAGUGACCAAUAUUUUUUUUGCAAACAGAUAAUGCUUACAAAAAAACUUUGAGAGCUCUGAAUUAAAGAUUCUAUAUAAAAGGAGAGUUAUGACACAUGACUGUCCAAUCCUCUUGAUGAUAGGGCUUAAUUAGUACCUGGUAACUGAUGAGCCCACCUGAUGUCAAUUUCCCCUUAUAAAUGGUGGCCUCCUUCUCCCCUGAGUGGUAAGGACGGCUGUCAUGUCCUGCCAGCCGGCUGGCGCACACAGUGGAGUGUCACUCUGGGACCUGGCUUCGAUAUGUAAGAUCCCCCUGUGCAAUAGAGCAUUAAUGUCUCCGCCACUGUCUCCAGGGCUCUUUCUUCAGUGUCAAGGCUGGGCAACUACAGGGCUUGCAGGCCUGUGGG